rnacentral:rRNA from 1 species
CCUACGGGACGCAGCAGUGAGGAAUAUUGGUCAAUGGGCGGGAGCCUGAACCAGCCAUGCCGCGUGAAGGCGAGUGCCCUACGGGCGUUAAACUUCUUUUGUGCGGGAGCAAUAAGGGCCACGUGUGGCCCGAUGAGAGUACCGCACGAAUAAGCAUCGGCUAACUCCGUGCCAGCAGCCGCAGUAAUACGGGGGAUGCGAGCGUUAUCCGGAUUUAUUGGGUUUAAAGGGUGCGCAGGCGGAAUGUCAAGUCAGCGGUAAAAUUUCGGGGCUCAACCCCGUCGUGCCGUUGAAACUGGCGUUCU